rnacentral:rRNA from 1 species
AUACGGAGGGUGCAAGCGUUAAUCGGAAUUACUGGGCGUAAAGCGUACGUAGGCGGUUAUUUAAGUCAGAUGUGAAAGCCCCGGGCUUAACUUGGGAACUGCAUUUGAAACUGGGUAACUAGAGUUUAGUAGAGGGGAGUGGAAUUUCAGGUGUAGCGGUGAAAUGCGUAGAGAUCUGAAGGAACACCAGUGGCGAAGGCGACUCCCUGGACUAGAACUGACGCUGAGGUACGAAAGCGUGGGUAGCAAACAGGAUUAGAUACCCUAGUAGUCC